GACUUGGCUUCUGGUGGGACCUCUGACUCAGCAGAUGGCCUUUUGUUCUUCCAGGAGCUGAAGCAAUGGGCUGCCACUGCUGAGUGCUACCGUGAUACCAGCAGAUCUUGACAUGAUGGGCAGCUGUAGGCUCCAGUGGCCUUUGGUGUUUUCAAGAGUGACCGGAUUCCAAAAGCUGCAGCAGAGAAUGAUUUCAGUGAAGAAUGUGCUCCUGGGUUCUGGACAUGGAAGAAAAAGAUGUAGA
rnacentral:lncRNA from 10 species